rnacentral:tRNA from 2 species
GGUCGUUAGCUCAGUCGGUAGAGCAGUUGACUUUUAAUCAAUUGGUCGCAGGUUCGAAUCCUGCACGACCCACCA